GACUCGUGGGUACCCAUAGAACCCAUUUUCAGUCAUAUAUCUGGAGGUCAGAGGUCAAGGGACCCCUUUGAAUAUGGCCAUGCCAGUUUCUCCUCACCAAAAUGUUGCCCAACUUUAGAGCAUUAUUUCGCCUCCUUCCCAGCAACCUAACAUGACAUGGAUGUUACCAAUACAACUGCUACGACCUCUGAAACACAGAAUAGCGAUUGAUACUUGCCGCCCGUGUAUUGAUACAAUAUUGCCACGCAAAAAAUUGCGAUACUAUUCUGUAUCGAUUUUUUUCCCCCCACCUCUAGCACACGAGUGGUCCAGGACCACGAUCACGGCUUGACAAAACCCAUCCGCCUGCCACCUAAAACAAGGAAAAUGAAAAUGAAACCAUUACAGCCAUGCAUACAUGGCUCAAACAGUUCAACUUUGUGUUAAGCGAUCAAGCUAUGGAACAGAUACCGUGCCUACUGGGAAAAAAAAA